AGGUAGCUUAAUUACAUGCUUGACCUGAAAGUCUGACUAUUAGUUUCUUGCAAGCUUCGAGUAGUUAGGAAUUUUUCUCAUUGAUGUACUACUCUCUACAUGAUGGAUACAUGAUGUUUUAUGUAUUAUCAGGGAGAAAAAAAGAUUUGGUCUGCGUAGCCUACAAUAGCAACACAAAAUCACUGCAACAGGGAUGUGUAUUACAUUUUCUAGGAUGUCCUUUGCAAUCCUGAAUCUGGCAAGAAAUUAGGAUGUUCACCAAUAACCUUCCCUACACUCCCGAACUAUCACUUUACAUUCUCUGAAUUAAUGCAGAAGCUGGGCUGAAUCUAAUCUGACUGGUGUGAAAUUAUAUUUCCGUCAAGGCAUUAUGUACCUAAUACAAGGAAGAGGUAUUAAAAAAACUUUCCAAAACACAUGAAGUAAAGUUUCUGACGAUAUCAGAACCUGAUGAGCUGCUAUUAAGAUCAAACCAACAGAGUUUAAGCUAUGGAUGUUGGUGAGAUUCCAUCCAGGAUUCCAAGGAUGAGGAUCAAGGCGCCCCUCACCGUCCGCAGUUUCCAAAGCUAUUAACAACACCAUACCCACCAAGGGCGAAGGGACAUUCUCUCCAACAACAUGUCAUAAACAUCAUUCCGAUGGACAAGUCUGACUGUACAACCAACAACCUUUGACAUGUCAUACUAAUGACAGUUUACAUAGUGUUUCACCUAUCGAUUUUUUUUUCAUUUGAUGUUUUAUUAGCGUCGAUAUCUAUAAAUGCUUAAUAUAGCACUUUACAAACUGUUCACCGGGGCCGUGAGCCAUGGAAGCCCCAAAAUAUUGCUCUAUUUCCUUUUUCCUUGAUUGUAUAUAAGUGUUUUGCUACUCCAUUCA